rnacentral:tRNA from 1 species
GCCUGAGUGGCUCACUCGAUUAAGCGUCUGACUUCAGCUCAGGUCAUGAUCUCAUGGUUCGUGGGUUCAAGCCCCACGUCAGGCU